rnacentral:rRNA from 1 species
UACGAGGGGGGCAAGCGUUGUUCGGAAUUAUUGGGCGUAAAGGGCGCGUAGGCGGUGCGGUAAGUCACCUGUGAAACCUCUGGGCUUAACUCAGAGCCUGCAGGCGAAGCUGCCGUGCUGGAGUGUGGGAGAGGUGCGUGGAAUUCCCGGUGUAGCGGUGAAAUUCGUAGAUAUCGGGAGGAACACCGGUGGCGAAGGCGGCGACCUGGGUAGAUACUGACGCUGAGGUGCGAAAGCGUGGGGAGCAAACAGG